rnacentral:rRNA from 1 species
UUCUAUUAGAUUAAAUUAUUAAUAGUAAAGUCUGCUCAAUGAAUAUUUAAAUAGCCGCAAAUAGUGCUAAGGUAGCAUAAUCAUUUGUCUUUUAAUUGAGGACUAGAACAAAAGGCUUAAUAUUUUCAAUUUAUUUACCCAAAUUAAUUUAUUUAACUUAUCCUAAAUGUAAAAAGACAUUUAUUUCUAAGAAAGACGAUAAGACCCUAUUGAACUUAACUUAAGUUAAACUGGGGCAGUUAAUCAAUUAACAUUUUAUAUUUAAAUAUUUAAAUUAACAUCCUUUAACCAAAGAAUUAAUCAGUUACCAUAGGGAUAACAGCGUAAUUAUAUAUUAAAGUUCUUAUUAAAUACAUAGAUUGCGACCUCGAUGUUGAAUUAAUUACCUAAUUAGGGCAAGACUUACAUAAAGGAGGUCUGUUCGACCUUUAAACAAUU